CCCUUAAACACCAAUGCAGCACUUGCAAUUUUCAGGAAGAAAACACCUGAGAAGGAUGGGUUUGAGCAGUGAUUUGUUUGGGGUUUUUGUUGCUGCCUAUUUCUCUCAGGCUUAGGAAUUCUCCAUCCAGGAAGAGAGAAGUUUCACCUCAUCCCACAGAAAUCUACCAUGGGAAGUUACAGGUGACAACACACAUGCACCAAGUGAAAGUCCAGCCUUCCACAGCUAAGAUAAAUAGUGACCAUACUGCAAGGCUUUGAAGGUAGGAGAGUGCAAACAGCCUGAAAGAGUUUGCUGUAUCAGUAAAGGGUAGAACUUCUUAGGUUCUCAUGGACUUAGGAUGCUGUGAAAUGAGAUUUGUGUUAGCUAGAGCUGAAUGUUCUAAGCUGGUCUGUGCCUUCAAGAUAAAACAGGAAAAUGCAUAACUUUUUUUUGUUUGUUUGUUUUUUUGUGAGAGAAGGGUUGUAAUGGGAGCAAAAUGCAGUUACAGUGAGUCCACAGCAGGACUUUUCUAUAUAGCCACACUGUCACAAACCCAAGAGAGAAAACCAACAGUUGGCUGAGUGGAACAUUUCGCAGCUGCCAGCAAGGCAUGAUUUUGGAUACUGUCCGUGGGUUGCGCAUCAGUCA